GCUCAGUUAGUUAAGCAUCCAACUCUUGAUCUCAGCUCAGGUCUUGAUCUCAGGGUCAUGGGUUCAAGCCCCAUACUGGGCU
rnacentral:tRNA from 1 species